rnacentral:rRNA from 1 species
GGCUCAACCCAGAGUCUGCUUCCGAAACUGCUGUGCUUGAGUGUGGGAGAGGCGCGUGGAAUUGCAGGUGUAGCGGUGAAAUGCGUAGAUAUCUGCAGGAACACCCGUGGCGAAAGCGGCGCGCUGGACCACUACUGACGCUGAGGAACGAAAGCUAGGGGAGCAAACAGGAUUAGAUACCCUGGUAGUCCUAGCCCUAAACGAUCAGGACUUGGGGUGCCGCCCGUUCGGGCGUCGUCCCGGAGCUAACGCGUUAAGUCCUGCACCUGGGGAGUACGGUCGCAAGACUGAAACUCAAAGGAAUUGACGGGGGCCCGCACAAGCGGUGGAACAUGUGGUUCAAUUCGACGCUACGCGAGGAACCUUACC